GACGAACGCUGGCGGCGUGCCUAAUACAUACAAGUGGGACGCAAGAGAACACACUGUGCUUGCACACCGUGUUUUCUUGAGUCGCGAACGGGUGAGUAACGCGUAGGUAACCUGCCUAUUAGCGGGGGAUAACUAUUGGAAACGAUAGCUAAUACCGCACAAUAUUAAUUAUUGCAUGAUAAUUGAUUGAAAGAUGCAAGCGCAUCACUAGUAGAUGGACCUGCGUUGUAUUAGCUAGUUGGUAAGGUAAGAGCUUACCAAGGCGACGAUACAUAGCCGACCUGAGAGGGUGAUCGGCCACACUGGGACUGAGACACGGCCCAGACUCCUACGGGAGGCAGCAGUAGGGAAUCUUCGGCAAUGGACGAAAGUCUGACCGAGCAACGCCGCGUGAGUGAAGAAGGUUUUCGGAUCGUAAAGCUCUGUUGUAAGUCAAGAACGUGUGUGAGAGUGGAAAGU
rnacentral:rRNA from 1 species